UACGAAGGGUGCAAGCGUUACUCGGAAUUACUGGGCGUAAAGCGUGCGUAGGUGGUUCGUUAAGUCUGUCGUGAAAGCCCCGGGCUCAACCUGGGAAUGGCGAUGGAUACUGGCGGGCUAGAGUGCGGUAGAGGAGAGUGGAAUUCCCGGUGUAGCAGUGAAAUGCGUAGAGAUCGGGAGGAACAUCUGUGGCGAAGGCGGCCAUCUGGACCAGCACUGACACUGAGGCACGAAAGCGUGGGGAGCAAACAGG
rnacentral:rRNA from 1 species